GCCUGGUUGGCUCAGUUGUUUAAGCAUCUGCCUUUGGCUCAGGUCAUGAUCCCAGGGUUCUGGGAUCAAGCCCCACACCAGGCU
rnacentral:tRNA from 1 species